rnacentral:rRNA from 1 species
AUCUAUUUACUGUGAAAUGUAUUAUUACUUGACGCUUGAGGGAUGCUCCACUGCUAUAAGGAUAGGCGGUGGGGAUGCUAACCGAGUCAUAAUCAAGCUUAGGCUUGGUAUCCUAUUAUUAUUUACCAAAAGAAUUCAGAAUUAAUAUUGUAACAUAGACCUAAAAAAUCUAUAAAACAACUUUUAACAACGGAUCUCUUGGUUCUCGCAUCGAUGAAGAACGUAGCAAAGUGCGAUAACUAAUGUGAAUUGCAUAUUCAGUGAAUCAUCGAGUCUUUGAACGCAACUUGCGCUCAUUGGUAUUCCAAUGAGCACGCCUGUUUCAGUAUCAAAACAAACCCUCUAUCCAACAUUUUGUUGAAUAGGAAUACUGAGAGUCUCUUGAUCUAUUCUGAUYUUGAACCUCUUGAAAUGUACAAAGGCCUGAUYUUGUUUAAAUGCCUGAACUUUUUUUUAAUAUAAAGAGAAGCUCUUGCGGUAAACUGUGCUGGGGC